rnacentral:rRNA from 1 species
GGGUCCGGACACACUGAGGAUUGACAGGCAAUAUUAAUACGUUUUGCUUCGGUAAACGCGUAUUAUGUUAAAUAUGCUAGUCCUUUCAUGAUUAUGUGAUAGGUGGUGCAUGGCCGUUCUUAGUUCGUGGAGUGAUCUGUCUGCUUAAUUGCGUUUCACUAAGGGCCUAUAAAUUUACGUGUGUUGCAUCGCGCUUUGACCCCUUUCUUUAAUUAGAGAGCGCGUGUCUUAGUUUUCGCUUUGCUCAUACAAUUAGGUCCUGAAAGCAACGAACGUGACCGCAACCUCUUGUUGCCUUUAUACCAAACAUGUUUUGCGUCAAUUUUUACGAAUUGCGCGCAUUUCAUGAAAAAAGGCUUUUUAAACUAGAGGGACCGCUGUUACUUUCUUAAACCAGAGGAAGGUUGCGGCAAUAACAGGUCUGUGAUGCCCUUAGAUGUUCCGGGCUGCACACGUGCUACAAUGAUUAUUGCAGUGAGCAUCUCAUUUUUACACACCGCAUGCGCGAGUCCAUUUAUUCACCUUCGGGUGUUUUAAAUGUGUAUCUCUGCGCGCGGUAAAGCCUGCUUCGACAGUAAGUGGGU